AGUGAACGCUGGCGGUAGGCCUAACACAUGCAAGUCGAACGGCAGCACAGUAAGAGCUUGCUCUUACGGGUGGCGAGUGGCGGACGGGUGAGGAAUACAUCGGAAUCUACUCUUUCGUGGGGGAUAACGUAGGGAAAAUUACGCUAAUACCGCAUACGACCUACGGGAGAAAGCAGGGGAUCUUCGGACCUUGCGCGAUUGAAUGAGCCGAUGUCGGAUUAGCUAGUUGGCGGGGUAAAGGCCCACCAAGGCGACGAUCCGUAGCUGUUCUGAGAGGAUGAUCAGCCACACGGGAACUGAGACACGAUCCAGGCUCCUACGGGAGGCAGCGGAGCAGAAUAUUGGACCAUGGGCGCAGGCCUAAUCCAGGCAUACCGCGUAGGUGAAGAAGUCCUUCGGGUUGUUAAGCUCUUUUGUUGGGAAAGAAAAGCAGCAGGUUUAUACCCCGCUGUUCUGACGGUACCCAAAGAAUAAGCACCGGCUAACUUCGUG
rnacentral:rRNA from 1 species